rnacentral:sRNA from 1 species
UGAACUCACCACUUGCCGUGACGUAUGAGGGAUUUCGGGCAUUUUUCUUUCAAGGAAUGAGCACUAGCAAAUUUAGAUUGUCCACGUUCGAAGAAUUGAGCGUAACUUUUGCACACGAUUUUCGUUUUGCGUACAAAAGUACUUUUCGAAAAUGUAACGACCGUUUUGGAUUGAACUCACGGCAUCGUCAUGAUGUAAGAGGGAUUUUGAUCGUUUGUUUUUUGAAGAACGAGCACUUGCAUACUUGGAUUGUCGGCGUUCGAAGAAUUGAGCCUGACUUUUGCACACGGUUUCCGUUUUGGGCCCAUAAGUACUUUUUGGAAAUGUAGCGACCAUUUUGGAUUGAACUCAUGACAUCUUCCUGAUGUAAGAGGGCUUUCGAUUGUUUGGUUUUCGAAGAACGAGCACUUACAUAUUUGGAUUGUCAGCGUUCGAAGAAUUGAGCGUAACUUUUGCACACGGUGUCCGUUUUGGGCCCAUAAGUACCUUUUGGAAAUGUAGCGACUGUCUUGGAUUGAACUCACAGCUUUACCGUGACGUAUGAGGGAUUUCGGGCAAUUUUUUCUAAGAACGAGCACUUGCAUAUUUGGAUUGUCGACGUUCGAAAAAUUGAGCAUAACUUUUGUACACGGUGUUUGUUUUGGGCCCGUAAGUACUUUUCGGAAAUGUAAGGACCGUUUUGGAUUGAACUCACGGCAUCGUCAUGAUGUAAGAGCGAUUUUGACCAUUUUUUUGAAGAACGAGCACUUGCAUAUUUGGAUUUUCGGCGAUCGAAGAAUUGAGCGAAACGUUUGCACACGGUGUUCGUUUUAGGCCCAUAAGUACUUUUCGUAAAUGUCGCAGCCCUUUUUGGAUUGAUCUCACGACAUCAUCGUGACGAAAGAGGGAUUUCGAUCGUUUAUUUUUUGAAGAACGAGCACUUUCAUGUUUGGAUUGUCGACGUUCGAAGAAUUGAGCGCAACUUUUGUACAGGUGUCCGUUCUGGGCCCAUAAGUACUUUUUGUAAAUGUAGCGACCAUUUUAGGUUAAACUCACGGCAUCGUCAUGACGU